AGAACGAACGCUGGCGGCAUGCCUAACACAUGCAAGUCGAACGCUCUUGGGGCUUCGGUCUCAGGGGAGUGGCGCACGGGUGAGUAGCGCGUGGGAACCUGCCCUGUUGUGGGGGAUAACCGAGGGAAACUUCGGCUAAUACCGCAUAAGCCGGUUGUCUUGAAGGAGAUGGCCGGGAAAGAUUUAUCGCGACAGGAGGGGCCCGCGUCGGAUUAGCUAGUUGGUGGGGUAACGGCCCACCAAGGCGGUGAUCCGUAGCUGGUCUGAGAGGAUGAUCAGCCACACUGGGACUGAGACACGGCCCAGACUCCUACGGGAGGCAGCAGUGGGGGAAUAUUGGACAAUGGGCGCAAGCCUGAUCCAGCAAUGCCGCGUGAGUGAUGAAGGCCUUAGGGUUGUAAAGCUCUUUCGCCCGCGACGAUGAUGACGGUAGCGGGAGAAGAAGCCCCGGCUAACUUCGUGCCAGCAGCCGC
rnacentral:rRNA from 1 species